rnacentral:rRNA from 1 species
UGAGUAACCUGCCCUUAACUCUGGGAUAAGCCUGGGAAACUGGGUCUAAUACCGGAUAUGACUCCUCAUCGCAUGGUGGGGGGUGGAAAGCUUUUUUGUGGUCUUGGAUGGACUCGCGGCCUAUCAGCUUGUUGGUGGGGUAACGGCCUACCAAGGCGACGACGGGUAGCUGGUCUGAGAGGAUGGCCAGCCACAUUGGGACUGAGAUACGGCCCAGACUCCUACGGGAGCAG